rnacentral:rRNA from 1 species
AACGAACGCUGGCGGCAGGCCUAACACAUGCAAGUCGAACGCUCGUAGCAAUACGGGAGUGGCAGACGGGUGAGUAACGCGUGGGAAUCUACCCAAUGGUACGGAAUAACUCAGGGAAACUUGAGCUAAUACCGGAUGUGCCCGAAAGGGGAAAGAUUUAUCGCCAUUGGAGGAGCCCGCGUCGGAUUAGCUAGUUGGUGGGGUAACGGCCCACCAAGGCGACGAUCCGUAGCUGGUCUGAGAGGAUGAUCAGCCACACUGGGACUGAGACACGGCCCAGACUCCUACGGGAGGCAGCAGUGGGGAAUAUUGGACAAUGGGCGCAAGCCUGAUCCAGCCAUGCCGCGUGAGUGAUGAAGGCCCUAGGGUUGUAAAGCUCUUUCGGCGGGGACGAUAAUGACGAUACCCGCAGAAGAAGCCCCGGCUAACUUCGUGCCAGCCGCCGCCGUAACAC